rnacentral:misc_RNA from 1 species
UUUUUUCCUUUUUUUUUUUUUGGUCGAAAGAGUUGAGAUUGUAGGUUUAGCUGGGUGCUAAUGAGAGCUUGAGACAUUACUGUUUAUACAAGGCAACAAUGUGUAGCCUGUUAGGGUUUCAUUUACAUAUUCGUUUGUGGGAUCCUCAAUAAUAUUUUUCCCCCAUAUAUUGGUAGCUUGUUAUAGUUUGUAGCUUCAAAGCUGGCUCCGAAAUUAUUUCAAUCUUUUAACGUCUUUAUUAAUUUAAGUUGUUUAUUCGCCG